AGAGUUUGAUCCUGGCUCAGGAUGAACGCUGGCGGCGUGCCUAAUACAUGCAAGUCGAACGAGGUGCCUUUGUAGCAAUACGGAGGUAUCCUAGUGGCGAACGGGUGAGUAACGCGUGGGUGACCUGCCCCAAAGUGUGGGAUAACAGUCCGAAAGGAUUGCUAAUACCGCAUGUGGUCUCCGGGUUUAGAAACCGGCGACUAAAGCAGCAAUGCGCUUUGGGAGGGACCUGCGUCCCAUCAGCUAGUUGGUGAGGUAACGGCUCACCAAGGCGACGACGGGUAGGGGACCUGAGAGGGUGACCCCCCACAAUGGAACUGAAACACGGUCCAUACACCUACGGGUGGCAGCAGUAGGGAAUAUUGCACAAUGGGCGAAAGCCUGAUGCAGCAACGCCGCGUGCGCGAUGAAGGCCUUCGGGUCGUAAAGCGCUUUUCUGAGAGAUGAGAAAGGACAGUAUCUCAGGAAUAAGUCUCGGCUAACUACGUGCCAGCAGCCGCGGUAAAACGUAGGAGGCGAGCGUUAUCCGGAUUCACUGGGCGUAAAGCGCGUGCAGGUGGCUCGGUAAGUUGGGCGUGAAAUCUCCCGGCUCAACUGGGAGAGGUCGUCCAAUACUACCGGGCUUGAGAGCAGAAGAGGAAGAUGGAAUUCCCGGUGUAGUGGUGAAAUGCGUAGAUAUCGGGAGGAACACCAGUGGCGAAGGCGAUCUUCUGGUCUGUUUCUGACACUCAGACGCGACAGCUAGGGUAGUAAACGGGAUUAGAGACCCCGGUAAUCCUAGCCGUAAACGAUGUGAACUUGGCGUUGGUGGGUUAAACUCCAUCAGUGCCGAAGCAAACGCGAUAAGUUCACCGCCUGGGGACUACGGCCGCAAGGUUAAAACUCAAAGGAAUUGACGG
rnacentral:rRNA from 1 species